rnacentral:misc_RNA from 1 species
GAAAUGCGAUAAGUAAUGUGAAUUGCAGAAUUCCGUGAAUCAUCGAAUCUUUGAACGCACAUUGCGCCCCCUGGUAUUCCGGGGGGCAUGCCUGUUCGAGCGUCAUUUCAACCCCUCAAGCCCGGCUUGUGUGAUGGACGACCGUCCCCCCAAACCCGUUCCGCGGGCCGCGGGGGACGCGCCCGAAAAGCAGUGGCCAGGCCGCGCUUCCGGCUCCUAGGCGAAUGGGACAACCACCGCUUAAGGGACCGGCCGGUUCUGCUGGCCUUGACUGGACGAAUUCAGUUUCGUUCGUUAAACAAUUUUCAGGUUGACCUCGGAUCAGGUAGGGAUACCCGCUGAACUUAA